GUCAAGCUACAAGGGCUCACGGCGGAAUACCUUGGCACACAAAGCGAUGAAAGGACGUGGUUACCUGGCGAUAAGUCUCGGGGAGCUGGAAACACGCUUUGUAUUCCGGAAUUC
rnacentral:rRNA from 1 species